GGUUAAACGGGGGUUUACACCGGGGUUACACCGGGGUUACACCGGGGUCACUACAACAGAUACCGCGACUACUACCGGCAGUACAACCGCGAGUGGCAGAACUACUACCAGGACAGGGACCGGUACUACAGGAACUACUACGGUUACCAGGGCUACCGGUGAACCCCGGCACACCCGGAAAAAAUUCCCGGAGAAAUUUUUGGGGAGAGGUGGGGGAGGGGC